GGGCCGCGCGGCUCCUCCUGGUUUUGUCCCUGGCUGUGGGGCCCAGUGCUGCCCCGAGUCGCAGGCGCGUCUGCUGCAGGGGUGUCAGCGCCGCCCGCGGCUGCCUGUGCCUGGGUGCGGGGCUGUGGCGCGCACGUCCCUGGAACUUUGUGGGGCCCCAGAGGCGCGCCCUCGCCUCGGCGUCCGCCUCUGGGGACUGACGCGACGCCUCCUUUCACCGUCUGUGGACGGUCACAUCUCCUCUGCUGUGAAGUGCCUGUUCACGUGUCUCCCAAUUUUGGAUUACAUUCUGGAUAUUAGCCUUCCGUUCUGUGUGUCCCACUGUCUUCUCCCACUUGGUGGCUUAUUUUUCUCACUUACUUUAUGGUGUCUUUGGUUGAAUAGAAGUUCUUAAUUUUAAUAUAUAGAAAUUUAUCAAUCUUUUCUGAAUAGUGCUUUUUGUGUCUUGCUAAACAAAUCCUUCCCAAAGGUCAUGAUGUUAUUUUCCUGUAUUGUCUUCUAAAACCUUUACAAUUUUCUUUCAUAUUUAGGUCUUUAAACCUUCCAGGAAUUGGUUUUUCCAGAUGACAUAAAAAUAGGAGUUAAGUUAAAUUUUUCCAUUUGAAUACCCUGUUGUUUUCAGCAUCACACAUUAAGGAGUGCAUUCUUUCCCUCUGAUCCACAGCGCAACCUCUGUGUGUCCCCCCUGGUUGUUUGUGGGGUUUUCCUUCAGCGCUGGUCUUUGUGCCCACGCGGCUCUGUCUUCAUCUCUCUGGUGCAUAAGGAGACUUGGCAUCAGGAAGGCAAAUCCUUCCACCACGGCCUAUUGGGAAUAUCCUGCUGCUUGUGGCUCUCUGCACGUCUCUGUUAAUUUCGAGUCAGCUUAUUCAGUUUACACGCCACAAUCAAAACUGCUGGGCUUUUCAUUAAAAUUGUUCUUGUUCUACAAAUUAGGAACCCUGACGGGUGUGUCAUGGCUCCCAGCAACUGCCCAUUCAGGCAACCGUCUGCUUCUGUGAGCCAGCAUCGGGACAGCCCUGAGUAGUCACAAGUGACCUGAAUUAUCUCAUUACAUCAAGACACCAGAUCUGCAUGUGACAAAAUGUUUACAAAAAGCAACUGCAGGGUGGGAGGUUGUGUUUUCUACAGAGGGAGAUCUCAAUCCUGAUUAAGAAAAAUGUAGAGAAAUGAUAAAAUAAACACUUGAACAUUUUGGUACCUCUCUGGGCUAGGGCUGAACUUUGGUGCUGGUCCGAGUCACUCCAGAGCGGGGGAGCCCUCCUGGAAUGCCGCCAAGAAUUGAAGAAGGGCUCUUUAGAGAACUCACGAAAUGCUAAAAUAUUUCAUUCUGUCCUCAGUUUAAUUCUCUCAUGUAAGCUUGGAGCAGUUUUUAGUAAAAGAAGAAAUCUGACUGUCUGAAAUCUAAGACCAAAACUCAGCUUCAAGUGACAUGACUGCAGGUUCGGAAGGAAAUCAUUGUUCAGCACGAAAGUCAAAUAACCAGGCCCCUCAGGAUUCCAGGGGAGCGCACUUUGAGAAUUGCUCUUUUGUGUCAUCUGGCCAUUGUUUUGUUUUGUUUUUGCGUUAAGAACUCAGAAGGACAAAAUCUCUUUCUGUGCAUAUAUUCAUUUGAAUUCUACUUUUGACCUUUUUUGUCAAAGGUUGCAGACUCCCUCAAGUCUCCCAGAGCGAGUGCCUAUGGCCAGCAUCCGGCAGGUCGCCUCUGCCUCACAGCAGCUGGGACCUGGAGACACGCAGGCAUCCGGGAAGUUCUCUCGUGGACUUUUCAGGGAACUUCACAUUCUCAGGCUUUCUCCAUGGACUGUGACCCUCACCCAGGCGACAGCAGCUGGGCAGCUGGUCUAGAUGAUCCCCACAGGGACCGUGACAGCGCCGGUGGUCCAGCAGAAACUCAUGCAGCAGGGGGCUGUGAGGACAGCAGCGGCAGCCCACUGCAGGCCUCUAGUGUCCCACCAGUGCAGGUGCCAGCCAGCUCCAAUAGCCCAAGCCAGCUGCCCAGUUACGCAUGGGAGUCCCUGCCAUCAGGUUAACGAUGCCCACCAAACCUCCACGCGCCUAGUCAGGAAAGUGGAGCAGCCUCAGCACAAGCCAUGCAUGCAAUCCAGCCCAAACUGGGUAGAUUUUAUUUAUUGUCGAACCUUGGGACAGUGUCUUGUGAGAUGUCCAUCACCUGGAAAGCUGUAAUUGAAACAAAGUAGUGUAACUACUUUAUCACAAUGCAUCCUACACUGUGGGAGCAGGGAUCCUCAUUGAACAUCCCCUUUUCUGUAUUAUGCAACUAGUUGAAAAAGGGACAGUGGCAAUUUUUUCAAAAUAAUGUUAACUUUUAAUUUCUUUUCCAGAGCAAUACUGCUGGGUCUUGAAAGCCAGUUAGGACUUCUCUGUUAGUGUACAGGGUUUUGCACAUCACAGUAGCCCUUUGGCGGUGCAGUGAAUCAUAAAACAGACUUUAUGAAGCUAGAACAUGGUCUUUGACAGAGCCUGCGUCUGGUUGGCUCUUUAUACCUGACUGGAAAGGCAUCAUGGUCCUGAGACAGGAGAGAGACUGACUAAGGUAGAUCAUUUCAGGUCAGAGGAAGCCAAUGUGGUUUUUCCCUUCCCUCCUAAAAUGUGACUUGUUUGAACUUUGAAAGAAAGUGUUUAGUACUGACGCCCACCGAAGCACAUUCACGAUGUGUUCUCGGCUUGUGUCGAGGGGAAAUAAUCUCUGAUUGAGUUUUCAUCCCAAAGAGCAGCCAGUGUGGCUUCCCCAGAGCCUCCCCCGUGUGACUUGCUUCCAUGGAAACAUAGCCUUUGGGACUGCUCCUCUUCCCAGCACAUCCACGGUAUUUCCCAGCUUUUGGAUGAAGCUCGUGUUUGGACUCAGUGCACUGAAGCAGCUCCGGUGAACGUGUGAGGCUCCCGUCUCGGGUGGUGUGGGGCCCCAGAGCACAGCUCAAGUGUUGUUCUGUUGCAGACGUCACUGCUGAGUGCAGGGUAAGGGAUGCAAUUAGGGCAGAGGCUUGUCAUUGCCCCCUUGUUCUCAUGCCCUCCUCAGGGUGAUCUGCAGAGGUGAGAGACCUCCUCGUACCAGGUGGUUUAUUUAUGAACCUACAAGUAUUGCCCACAGAAAUGGGCACAGUGAACUCUUCGUUGCACUCUCGUAAUGCCAAGCUUCUGAGCCAGGAUCUCAUACAUUAGCAGAUACGCUCACUCACGGUUCUGCGUAAAGCCAGGAACUGUCCAAGCUGUUUGAGGGCGCACAGUUGAAGGGCAAACAGGAGGCUGCCUGUUUGGUACUGUUUUUAUUUUUUUACUGAAGCAAAAUAAUAGAAGUGAUUGCAGUGGGUUUGACUGGCUGAUGAUGUCUGCUUACCCGGAAGUUUUCCCCCAAGCAAGAGGUGCAGGCCCCACGACGCCCUCUGUGCCUCUCUUACAUUACUCGGUUCAGGAAAUCAGGCUGAAUUCGGUCUGCAUGUACUAAGGAUUAGUUAGGGCAUACUGAGAGAUUUUUAAUUUUUUUUUUAUUUAACCUGUUCCCUCCCCAUUGUAUCAGUUUGACACAAAGGAAAGCCUUUUGUCAUGUAAUCUUUUGUUUCCCAUCAACUUAUGUGGACAAUAAGAUGGCGAUACUUAGUGCAGCCAACUGGGAGCUCAUUGCUGACCUCUUGGUUGGAAAUUUGGAAAAAGUAGAAAUCAAGUAUUGAAAAAGUGGGAGGAAUUUAACAUUAUAAUUAACUGAAUAUAUCAAAACAGAGCACUCUUUUCUUACAACCAAACUUGCUUUUUCUGGCUUGGCACGUGCUGCCAUGAGCACGCACAGCCUGCAGCAAGGCUAUCUGUGCAUGCCUCGCGUCUGGUUCCUGAGGAAAGUGCCUGCUCUGUUUAUCCUCAAGUGUGUGGAACCGGCAGAGAUAGGAAUCCCUUUGUUCAGCUGAUUUGAAUUUGUGCAUCCUGUUCAUUUUCCACUUGUCCUUCACGGGGGGUCGGCGGCCUCUUUUUAGACAAUGAUAAAUGUUGAGUGCAUGUAUUUUAGAGUAUCCUAGACAUAGCUGCCAGAAUAGAAGUUCUCAUUAAUCUAGACACUAGAAGAGAACUUAGAAACAUCUCUCAGAAGCUUUCUAAGGGAACAGAACUGGGGUUCUGAAUGUUUGCCGUGUGGAAAUCCUGCCCUAUCUUCUUAUGUGAGUGACAGCGACUCUCGUCCCUGAAGUUUGUUUUCUUCACUGAGUCCCUAACAUACAAUAUGGAACAGAAAAGAGUUUUACUUGUAUUGAACCAGCAAACAGCCAUUGAUGAUUACGUAUCUAGGUACUAAAGGUUUUUCCUUUUCACAAUGACUGAUUAUAGCUUUAGCUGGUUAAACCUCCCAUUGUUAACUGUGCUGCUGAGGCAAUAUGCUGUCUGACUCCCACUAGGCUCCUACAGAUAACAUCUCCCUGGAGCCUGGGUCACCGUGGUAAUGGGUGUGUGAGCUGUUUUUCAGGAAUUAGAACUCCUUGUCCACAAUUCAGGCCGGCUGAGACCACCAACUCAUCAACCAGGCCCGCAGAGAUGUCGGAUAGGCGAUCUUUUGACGUCAAGAGGCUAAAAACUCCACCCUCUGAUCAUGCUAACACCGACAUUUUGUGAACAUGGGUCCUAUGAAGAGGCAUGGAGUCUGACUAUGCUUGCACACAUCAUCAAUUACCUCACCUCUCCUCACCUCCAAUCACCUCUCUCCACAUUUCAGACCACCUUGCCCCCAUCCCAUAAAUAUCCCUGAGUCCCUAUUUUCAGGGAAGCGGAUUUGAGGCUCAUGCUCUCGCUUCCUCCCAUGGCUGCCUUGUGAGUAAACCCUCACUCUGCUGCGAUCUGGUCAUCUUGGUGUUUGGCUUUCUGGGCAGUGGGCAAAAACGAACCUGGUUUGGUAACAGUAUCACUCAAUUUAGCAACAUCUAGUUGUCACCACUGUCUUUAAUAGAGUCAUUUAAGUAAAAAUUUUCCUUCAGGGAUAGUGUUUUUUGGUCUUCUGUUUUAAAGGUUAAACUUUUCAUAUUUGAGAAAAUGUGUGUAGGUAGUUGUCAUCCAAGCCUUCUCAGAUCGUCAUUGUUAGCAGAAUCCUGUAUGACUUUGUGAACCAGGGGCCCUACCAGCACAGUAUGCAAUGAUUGAAAGAAAUCUUAGAACAGAAAUAGAGACAGCAGCCAGAACACUAUCAAGCUCCAAUUGGCCACCACGGAAGGCAGUUGUCCUUUAAAUCAGAGCCAUCUGUUCUGUUAAGGCCAGGCUGUUUCUCAAGCCUCCCCCGGGAAGCAGGAGGUCAGAUCUGAGCGCUCCUUCAGAUUUGCUGCCUAGUGAGGCAGAGGCAUUCCUUUUUGCAGUGUUUGUGAUUUUUUGUUAACUGUUGUAACCAGAGAGCUGUUGUGUUUUAAAAUACCAAGGAAGAAGACUGAAAUUGUAAACACUUUGUAAACAUAAUCCUUUGUACUUGAAUAGUAGCAUUUUAAAGGGUGUUGAUAGCUCACCAAACAAAAAGUAUAAUAAAUGGCACAGCUGUUAAGUUUGCAUGUUCUGCUUCAGCUUCAGCGGCCGGGGGUUUGCUGGUUCAGAUCCAGUGUGUGGACCUAGACACCGCUUGGCAAGCCAUGCUGUGGCAGGAGUCCCACAUAUAAAGUAGAGGACGAUGAGCAUGGAUGUUAGCUCAGGGCCAGUCUUCCUCAGCAAAAAAGAGGAGGAUUGGCGGCAGAUGUUAGCUCAGGGCUAAUGUUUCUAAAAAGAAAAAAAAAGAAACAAAAGUAUAGUAAACGGCCUUUUUAUAUGCUUUUUUGUUCUGUCUUUUAUAGAAAACUAGUAUUCAAGUUAAAUAAGAUGCUAGUUUUGUUUAUUUCACUUCUACAAAUUAAAAACUAAACUAAACAGAAACAGGGAACAAGCAGUGUUGGAGGCAGAGGUUUUCUUCUCCUGGCCCUCUCCCCCCAGGCUGUGGGAGGAACGAGAAGGAAUGGAGCGUGUGCAGAGGUCAUGAGUGAAAAAUCACUGUUUACCUCUGCAGGGGCCGCUGCUCCCCACAAGCACACGUGAAGGGAAGCCUGCUGCCCUGUCUCUGGUGACCUGCUGCACGCAGCACCUGGUUCCCUGGAGGCUGGGUCGACCCAGGGCAGUUUCAGACCUCGAACCUUCCUGCUCUCAGAUGCUCCAGCACACACUCCUCUAGCCAGGCGGCCCACAGGUGCUUCUUUCUUUAUCUUCUCUUUUGCUUUCAGACUCCUUUUCCUUUUGUAAAACAAAAGUUUCUGAU
ensembl:lncRNA